rnacentral:lncRNA from 1 species
GUGCACUCCUCCAGUUGACAGGGCUGGGUCAUAUAGCACCUCUCGAGUGUCCAGGACCAGCUCUCAGACCACGUGGGUAGACCGGGGACAGCUCUCGGGAUCGUGGGGUGCCUGUCCUCACAAGAGGAGGAGCAGCUUUAAACAAGCCGACGGGUGUCUGCUUCCAGGGCGGCUGCCCACCCUGCCUGGGGACCCUCUGAGUCUCCCCUCAGCCUGAGUCUAGCCUCAGCAUCGGUCUCCGGAGCCCUCAGAGCGGGUCCCAACCUAACAGCAGUCUUGCCUGUGUGUCGGCCACCUUCCUGAGCAAGAUCACCUAGCACCAUGGCCCUGUCCACCCCACAGCCGCUGCAGGGUGAAGCAUGAUUUCAUAUCAACAUGCCGGGUGCAGGGCAGGCCUAGUGCUUGGCAGGGCCCCGGGCUCCCCAUGGAAGUCCAUUGACCUCACACUCGGAGAGUCAGUCUUGGGCACUGACCCUUGGCUUAGACGUUGGCUUGGUGGUGGCCUUUGCACAGGGACCAGGUUCUGUAGAAGUGGUGAGAGUCCAAAAAUAGAGAAGCACACGCCAGGGAGCAUGAGGUCACAGGGGAACAGCGAAGUCACGGGGCACCAGCCUGAGACCCUGAGAUGGUGGGGUGUGCGCCUUGGCCAGGGCGGGCAGGCAGAGGGAGUCCUCACAGUGAGGAGGUCCAAGAGGGCCAGAACCACGCUCAGAUCAGGCGCACCGUGGUUCCUACCACCUGAAGGCACAGUGCUGGGGUCAGGAGUCUGAAUCGGGUCACCAGUGGGCCCCCUCCCCCUGCAGGGUGGAUGGGGGCAGGGGCCUCUCCCCUGUUCCUGUUCCUGUGGCUCUGGCCACAGACCUGUCACUCACCCCGGCUCUGCGCCCUUCUCCUCGAGGUCUCUGCGUUUCCUCUGUCCUUUCUCAGUACACCCAUCCUGUGCCUUCUCCUCAACCAGGGACCUGUGCCGAGACCCUCCUCCAGCAGGAUCAUGGCCCAGGCAGCAGGGUUAGGUCUUGGGCAUAGCCGUCGGGACUACUUUCUCUAUUUUUCUUUGGUUUGUUUUUUCCCCUAACCUGGAUCCGAAGCAGCACAGAGCAGGUCCCUGGAGACCAGCCGUGGCUCCUUUGUUUGCAGCUGAGGACUUUCGGGGAAAUGCUUCAUCUCUGCCCCACAUCUGCCUAAGGAGGAGAACAGCACCUGUUAUCCUAUUAUUUGAGCAGAAAGCCAUCACUGCCCUGAACAAGCCAGGAUCACGUACAAAAGCCAAAAGCAGCCAAGCUCAGCCACACCCUGAGAGGCGGCCAGUACCUGGAGGUGCCAUAGCCACACAGGCAGGAUUCCCCCUGGUUGCCUUGGUGUGUGCCCUGAGACACUCCUCCCUGCACUGUGGAAACACAAGUGGCCUUCCUUCAGUGCCCAGCGAUGGCCAUGCUGGGGGCUGCUGCCUGUGAGCCCUGGCUCAGAGUGACAGCCAGCCUCCUUCCAGCCAGGGGCCCAGGGCCUGCUUGCCAGGACCUCCCCAGCCUUCUCCCAGGGAGAUGCCCCACUGCCAUGGAAAGAGGGGUCCCCCUCACCCAGGUGGACCACUGACUGGUCUGUAGCCCUCCACUCAGCCCCUCAGUGUCAGUCCUCAGCACCCGUGAGCCGGCCACCCUUCGUCUUCAGACUGCAAUGAGUAGGUCCCACUAAGGGCAAGGCAGCAACGUCCUCUCCACACACAUGUGUGUAGGCAGGUCCUAUAGUGCACACCCACCCACACGUGCCUGUACACAUUCAUACACAUGGACACAAACACUCAGGCACACUCACAGACACGUGUGCAGGAGCACACACUGACCCCAAGGCCAGCCUUACCCUCUGUCUCUGAGUUUCAGCUCUGUCCUGAGGAGGCCACACCCAGGGCCCGAGCAGGCGAGGUCAGGAUGGCCCCUGAUCCAGCAGGAGGAGGGUCCAGGAGGUGGAGACCCUGCGGCUGCCUGUGUGGGUCACGUUGUCCAGUGGUUCAUGCUCUUGGGUGUCACCCUUGUCUCCGUUUCCAACACAGAUGGCCCAUUUUUAACAGAUUGUGCAAAAUUCCAUACUGAAAACCAUAUGCGUGACCAACGUCCUGUAUGGAAGAAUACAGUAAGCUGCACAGGCCCCCACGAAGGCGGCAGCACCCUGAGGCAGCCCACAGCCUGCCGCACCCCUGCCCACCCAUGGACUGCAGGCUGAUCCUGGCUGGCUCCCCAUGCAUGUGUGAGCACAUGGGUGUGCACUGCAGCUGUCCAC